rnacentral:rRNA from 1 species
GAUGAACGCUGACAGAAUGCUUAACACAUGCAAGUCGAUGGGGAAGUGGUGCUUGCACCAUGGUAACCAUGGCGGACGGGUGAGUAACACGUAAGGAACUUACCUGCGGGACCGGGAUAACAGCAGGAAACUGCUGACAAGACCGGAUAAGGUCAUUAAGCUGCAUAGCUUAGUGAUGAAAGGAGACGCCUGCGAGAGCCUUGCGUCCUAUUAGCUAGUUGGAGGGGUAACGGCCCACCAAGGCGAAGAUAGGUAGCCGGCCUGAGAGGGUGGACGGCCACAAGGGGACUGAGAUACGGCCCUUACUCCUACGGGAGGCAGCAGUGGGGAAUAUUGGACAAUGGGGGCAACCCUGAUCCAGCAAUUCUGUGUGCACGAAGACGGUUUUCGGAUUGUAAAGUGCUUUCAGCAGGGAAGAAGGAAGUGACGGUACCUGCAGAAGAAGCGACGGCUAAAUACGUG